rnacentral:rRNA from 1 species
UACGGAGGGUGCGAGCGUUGUUCGGAGUCACUGGGCGUAAAGGGCGUGUAGGCGGUCCGCUAAGUCUGAUGUGAAAGCCCGGGGCUCACCCCCGGAAGGGCAUUGGAAACUGACGGACUCGAGUCCCGAAGAGGAGGGUGGAAUUCCUGGUGUAGCGGUGAAAUGCGUAGAUAUCAGGAGGAACACCGGUGGCGAAGGCGGCCCUCUGGACGGUGACUGACGCUGAGACGCGAAAGCGUGGGGAGCAAACAGG